AUUGAACGCUGGCGGCAUGCGUAACACAUGCAAGUCGAACGGUGUUUGGUGCUUGCACCAGACAUAGUGGCGGACGGGUGUGUAAUGCGUAGGAAUCUGUCUUAGAGAGGGGGACAACCCGAGGAAACUUGGGCUAAAACCGCAUAUUCUCGAGAGAGGAAAGCAGGGACCGGAAACGGCCUUGUGCUCUAAGGUGAGCCUACGUCGGAUUAGCUAGUUGGUAGGGUAAAAGCCUACCAAGGCGAUGAUCUGUAGCUGGUCUGAGAGGACGGACAGCCACACUGGGACUGAGACACGGCCCAGACUCCUACGGGAGGCAGCAGUGGGGAAUAUUGGACAAUGGGGGGAACCCGUGAUCCAGCGAUGCCGCGUGUGUGAAGAAGGGCCUGCGGGUUGUAAAGCACUUUCAGUGGGAAAGGAGAAGCGUCUUGUGAAUAAAUGGGUACGGUGGAGACGUUACUCACAGAAGAAGCACCGGCUAACUCUGUGCCAGCAGCCGCGGUAAUC
rnacentral:rRNA from 1 species